rnacentral:misc_RNA from 1 species
GAUGAAGAACGUAGCGAAAUGCGAUAAGUAAUGUGAAUUGCAGAAUUCAGUGAAUCAUCGAAUCUUUGAACGCACAUUGCGCCCGCCAGUAUUCUGGCGGGCAUGCCUGUUCGAGCGUCAUUUCAACCAUCAAGCCCCCGGCUUGUGUUGGGGACCUGCGGCUGCCGCAGGCCCUGAAAACCAGUGGCGGGCUCGCUAGUCACUCCGAGCGUAGUAGUUACAUCUCGCUCAGGGCGUGCUGCGGGUUCCGGCCGUUAAAAGCCUUAUUUACCCAAGGUUAACCUCGGAUCAGGUAGGAAGACCCGCUGAACUUAAGCAUAUCAAUAAGCGGAGGA